UACGUAGGGUGCGAGCGUUGUCCGGAAUUAUUGGGCGUAAAGGGCUCGUAGGCGGUUUGUCGCGUCGGGAGUGAAAUCCACUGGCUUAACUGGUGGCUUGCUUUCGAUACGGGCAGACUGGAGGUAUGCAGGGGGAGAACGGAAUUCCUGGUGUAGCGGUGAAAUGCGCAGAUAUCAGGAGGAACACCGGUGGCGAAAGCGGGUCUCUGGGCCGUAACUGACGCUGAGGAGCGAAAGCAUGGGGAGCGAACAGG
rnacentral:rRNA from 1 species